rnacentral:rRNA from 1 species
CAAUAGCGUAUAUUAAAGUUGUUGCGGUUAAAAAGCUCGUAGUUGGAUUUCUGCUGAGAACGACCGGUCCGCCCUUUGGGUGUGUAUCUGGCUCUUUCUUGGCAUCUUCUUGGUGAACGUUGCUACACUUGACUGUGUGGAGCGCUACCCAGGACUUUUACUUUGAGGAAAUUAGAGUGUUUCAAGCAGGCAUACGCCUUGAAUACAUUAGCAUGGAAUAAUAAGAUAGGACCUCGGUUCUAUUUUGUUGGUUUCUAGAGCUGAGGUAAUGAUUAAUAGGGAUAGUUGGGGGCAUUCGUAUUUAACUGUCAGAGGUGAAAUUCUUGGAUUUGUGAAAGACGAACUUCUGCGAAAGCAUUUGCCAAGGAUGUUUUCAUUAA